CGCUGCGGCNGCCUACCAUGCAAGUCGAGGGGUAACAGUUUCGAGCAAUCGAGAGCUGACGACCGGCGCACGGGUGCGUAACGCGUAUGCAACCUACCUUUGAUCGGGACAUAGCCCGAAGAAAUUCGGAUUAAUAUCCCAUAAUAUUCAGAUGAGGCAUCUCAAUUGAAUUAAAGUAUUAGCGAUCAUAGAUGGGCAUGCGUGACAUUAGUUUGUUGGUGAGGUAACGGCUCACCAAGACUAUGAUGUCUAGGGGUUCUGAGAGGAUGAUCCCCCACACUGGUACUGAGACACGGACCAGACUCCUACGGGAGGCAGCAGUGAGGAAUAUUGGUCAAUGGACGCAAGUCUGAACCAGCCAUGCCGCGUGCAGGAUGACGGCCCUAUGGGUUGUAAACUGCUUUUCUACGGGAAGAACUCCCCCGACGUGUCGGGGACUGACGGUACCGUAGGAAUAAGCAUCGGCUAACUCCGUGCCAGCAGCCGCGGUAAUACGGAGGAUGCAAGCGUUAUCCGGAUUUAUUGGGUUUAAAGGGUGCGUAGGCGGACUAUUAAGUCAGUGGUGAAAUCCCCCGGCUCAACCAGGGAACUGCCAUUGAUACUGCUAGUCUAGAGUACAGUUGAAGUGUGCGGAAUGUAGCAUGUAGCGGUGAAAUGCAUAGAUAUGCUACAGAACACCGAUAGCGAAGGCAGCUCACUAAGCUGUAACUGACGCUAAGGCACGAAAGCGUGGGGAUCAAACAGGAUUAGAUACCCUGGUAGUCCACGCUGUAACGAUGAUCACUCGUUGUUGGCGA
rnacentral:rRNA from 1 species